rnacentral:rRNA from 1 species
AUUGAACGCUGGCGGCAUGCCUUACACAUGCAAGUCGAACGGCAGCACGGGAGCAAUCCUGGGUGGCGAGUGGCGAACGGGUGAGUAAUAUAUCGGAACGUGCCCAGUCGUGGGGAUAACGUAGCGAAAGCUACGCUAAUACCGCAUACGAUCUAAGGAUGAAAGCGGGGGAUCGCAAGACCUCGCGCGAUUGGAGCGGCCGAUAUCAGAUUAGCUAGUUGGUGAGGUAAAGGCUCACCAAGCCGACGAUCUGUAGCUGGUCUGAGAGGACGACCAGCCACACUGGGACUGAGACACGGCCCAGACUCCUACGGGAGGCAGCAGUGGGGAAUUUGGAC